rnacentral:lncRNA from 1 species
AAGUUAGCUGUAUGGAUGGCUAUGAGGGGUGCACACAGCCCGUUCACCAACUGAGGAAUGGAGAACUCGAAGGGAGGAACGGAGACUCGGCCAAGCCUCAGCACUCACAGCGGCAGGGUGGAUGAGUUCUAAUAAGGGUAGUUUCCUGUGACAGUCCGGAAUCUGGAACUAGGCAUCAGUGGCUGCAGGAUCCUGCCCUCAGCCCAAAUGGCUCCUGCAUGAAAAGCUGCGGU